CGCCUGUUGAUUAUAAUUUCAGGUCUGGCCUGCCCAAUGAGGAGUUUAAUGGCCGCGGUAUAUUGACCGUGCAAAGGUAGCAUAAUCAUUAGUUUUUUAAUUAGAAGCUUGUAUGAAAGGUUUAAUGAGAAAGUGGCUGUCUCUGUAGGAGUUUAUUAGAAUUUUAUUUUUAAGUUAAAAAGCUUAAAUUUUUGUAGAAGACGAGAAGACCCUAUAGAGUUUUAUAUUUUUGUUAGAGUUUUAUUUAGGUAUUUAUUAUUUAGUUUUUUUGAAGUAUUUUGUUGGGGUGAUGGAAAAAUAAGAUAAACUUUUUCUGUAUUAUAACAUUUAUUUAUGGUCAUUUGAUCUUAAAGUUUGGAUUAAAAGAUUAAAUUACCUUAGGGAUAACAGCGUAAUCUUUUAUAGAGUUCUUAUCGAAUAAAAGGGUUGCGACCUCGAUGUUGGAUUAAAAUUUAUUAUUGGUGUAGUAGCUAAUAAAUUAGGUCUGGUCGACCUUUAGAAUUUUACAUGAUCUGAGUUUAAACCGGUGUGAGCCAGGUCGGUU
rnacentral:rRNA from 1 species